UCCAGGACUUGAUUCAGGGGCCACAGAAGGGUUCCUGGGAGCGAUCCCCACAGUAAGACGAUCGCAACCACUGAAGGGCAGAUAGAAGUAACUGCGAACCAUGUAAAUACAUCCCACUAAGCUCACCCAAGUGUGCCCGUAGCCAGCCUCCUCCUGGUCAGAUUCCCGCACGCUGAGCCAUGCCAGCUCCACCCAACAUGAGCAGAGACAUGCUACAGGGCAGCUCAGCACGGGAACAGACCACUUUUUGACCGACCGCUGCCAAAUAGCUCGGCUUGCAAACAUCACACAACAUGGAAAUGUGUGGACACGCGGUGAGAGGUCCUGAGCUGGGCUUCACGAGCUCCAUGGUGAACGCGGCUCUCACCAGGGGACAAAGGGCCAGAAAAGAGGACGUGGAGGAUAGGGAGGCAUGCCGUCAGGAUUUUCGAGCUAGGAAAGCAGGGCUUCUUCUGAGUUCUGGGAAUCAUUUCAAUGAGGGGAUAGCAGAGCCCCCGAAUUGGUAGCUGGUUGGUCUGACAUGCAGGUGGCCUGGGAGACCGGAGCUUGUGGCUGAUGACUGAAGUGAGGACGGUCCUCUGGAGACAGGCCCUUACCCUGACGUGUCCAACUCCAGGUCAGGGGUGGCUUGGAAACAGAGUCACUGCAGACGUGAUUAGUUCAGAUGACGUCACAGGAUGGACCUGAACCCAGGAUGACUGGUGUUCCUAUCAAAACCGGAGAUUUGGACGCAGUCGCCCUCUCGGGGAGGAAGCCAGGUGAAGAUGAAGGCACGGAUGGAGCGUCUACCAGGCAAGGAAUGCCAGAGGCUGCCAGCAGAGCAGCAGGAGUGGGGGCUGCCCUCACAGCGCCUGGGGGACCUGGCUUGGCCACAGCCUGGUCUCAGACUCAGCGUCCAGAAGUGAGAGGCGCAGGGCUCUGUCCUGCGAGCCACGGGACGUGGGGCAUGUUACAGCCGCCUUCAAAGGGUGAAGUUUAUCCCCACAGUAAUGACUUGGACACAUUUUUUUAAAUAGCAGACAUCAAAUUCCCCCCAGAUCCUCCUGGGUGUCUCUUCUCUGCUCGGGCACUGGGGCACAGCGUGCUGAAGGGCUCCGGGGUCUCCCUGUGGCCCGCACCCCUGCCACACAGAGCCACCUCGCACACCGUGGGCCUGAGUCGUGAACACGAGCGUGGGAUCCAGGUUCACGUCCUGCACCAGAGCUUCCGUGCUGGUAUGGCCUGCCGCCUGUCUGCUUGGCUGACACUUCAGUCCCUGUUCCAUGUUUCCAGUUCCGUCCUCUGAUGCAGGAGAGGGAUCCAUGCUGUUUGUGACAAAUGUUCAGUUCGGAUCAGUCUCCUCAGGUGCCCGGCUGAGGGAGAAGUGUAACUGCCCUCCCCCAGUACCCUGCACAGCUCUUCCAUGCAGCAUCUGGGGAUGAUGACAGUGGUGGCCUGCUCAGGACCAACACCUGGAUGCCCUCUCACAUCCUUUCCAUGUCUCAGUGAGGGUGCUGCUGUGGGUGCAGAGUGAAGGCAGAGGGAGCACAGCCUGAGAUGGGAAAGGAGGUCAGGUCUCCCUGGGUGAUUGAGUGCCACCUACGCAGGUCACCGAAGCCCUCUCUAUGCAAAUGACUCUUCCAGGAUGUCUUUUGUCGGGCCUGACAGUCCCACCUGAAGAACAGAUUGUGUGGGGUUGUACUCGGGGUGUGCAGGGGGCCGCUGUUGACAUGCAGGAGGACACCUGUCGCUCAUCCAGUGAGUAUCACAUGUUCACAGCUGGGGGGAUACUUGCAGCCAGGAACCCACUGGAAGACUUUACGACAGGGCUUUGUCCGAUGGUGAGGAUGCCAAAGGCACUGACUGACGGCCCCGGGCAGCCUGCCUGUAUGGGGAGGUGGCUGCGGAGAAACGAGGCCGGGAAGUGACCCCCUGGGGUAUCCCCGGAGAACCUGAGUCCCACAGGCCUGGGGCACCCCUGGGGGAUGGCCUGCAGGCUGGCUGAGUGUGCCAAGAGCAGGUGUACCCAGUGCACAUGGUCCCGUGACAGUCUUUUGAUUUCAAUCAUUUUGGGAUGCAAACGGUCCCCAAAUAUUCAGGGCACCAUUUCCAGGAGCUUCAAAGCUUUCUUUUUGUCUCAUUCUUAUCUUUUCUUCUAAGCAGAAGGACCUUUUGAUUUUUUCCCACCCAAAGUCUCUUGCUGCUAAAUACGUAGCACUUCUUGUUGGGUCAGAGGUGGGAAGUCACAGGCCCGCCCGUGGGCCCCCCUGUACCCCCACAGCAGCCCCCAGGGAGGAACCCGCAGGCUCCCUGGAAGUUUGGAAAUAUCUGCGUGGGAAAGAGCACUGGACCCCAAGUCGGAAGUCCUAGAGUGAAGCCACAGAAGCGCAGGCAGUCAGCCACCACCGGUCGUAGCUUCGUCAUCUGUGAAACAGGAGGCAAAACCACAGCCCCGCCUCUACCGCAGGGUGACCAUGGGAAUCCCUCGGUGACCGGGCGACGGGAUGCGCAGCCAGUGCAUGGGAGCCCAUGCACAUGGAAGGCCCCAUCUGAGGUCCUGUCGCCACUCACAUCAUACACACAACUGGCUUCUUCAAAUAGGCUGUGAUUUCACAGCCCUCUGCAGGGCCGGGACUCUGAAGAGCGUGUUUGGAGCCCUCCCGCGGCUCUCAGAUACCAAAGGGAGGCAAAAGCCCACACCAGAGCCUGCUGGUGUCACUUCUGAUGCCCAUCCUUGGAUUUUCU